UUGGAUAUUUGGGAGAAAUUCCAUAAUAUUGUCUGGUGACUGAAUCUUCGAACAGACGACUGUUGCUUAAAUGAGAUUUACGCCUCAUAUUUUUUGGAAGGAACUGAUUUAAAUGGAACUUGAAAUUCACAUUUAUCUGUGAAGUUAAGUAACGAAUUUAAAGUAGAAAUGCGUUCAGUUAAUGUAAAUGUGUAACUCAACUUUGGAGUUGAAUGACGGAUUUUAUAGUUGUACAGCACCAAAUGUGGCGUAUGGUUUAAUCCAUUAGCAGACGCAUGUGCUGAAGUUGAGGAUUAUGACAAAGUUGGCAAUGUAUUGUGUACUGAACGAGUGUUUACAUCCGCCAAAAGCACAUACAAAGUUUAUUAUCCUUUAUAUCUCGAAUGAUUUUCUACUGGCAAAUGUUUCUUGAAGGAUUUCCGUGUAAGACGCUUGAUUCUGACUUUAUGGGGGAUACGGAGGAUUCUGCGCAUGCCUAUUAUGUGAUUUAUUUCUUUUGAAGAGAAAAGGGAUUGCUUUAACGAUCUUUUUGGAUGUCAGACAAUAUCCUGUCUAGAAGCUCUUUGCAGGAAUAAAUCUUGAGCAUUCGGGAUGUCAGUCAAUAUCCGUUCUACGAAAUCUCCUUAGGCAUAAAUCUUAGGCAUUACUAUAGGCAAGGCCAAUGUUGAAAUUGUGAUUCUUUAUCCAUGGACUUACGAACGUGAGUUAUAUCUCGACAAACAUGACCGAAAUACUACUGAUUGUGGUUUCAGUUAUUUUAGGACUCGUGAAGACAGCUCGCGGGUUUUCAACACCUUUUGCAGCAAAUGAUACAACCACGACGACUUCCUCACCAGUUCCCCAGCCAAGACACGGCCCUGAGGACAAAUCUUUUCCGACCUGGUUGAUAGGAGUCAUCAUUCUGUCAUGUCUGGGAAUGAUCGUUGUUGUGGCCACCAUUACACAGAGGGUGAUUCGUCGAAGAAAUAACCGAAUGGAACAAUAUAGGCUGGGGAGUUAGUUAAUUACAUUUGUACAGCUGUAGUGCAUCUCGAGUUUUUACAUCCUAGUUGUAGUAUAUGUAUCUGCAUUAAUGUUGAUGACAUACAUGAACAUGCAAAAAGGAUGACGUGCUACGAAGGUGUUAACGAUAUUUUACUAAUCGAGUUUGCUGUUUGAGGUAUCAACCUCUAGUGUGAUGCUUCUUAACACGGUGACAACCAACGAUACAGAUACAAGUUAUCGCGACACCAUGUCAUAUUAGCGUAAAUUCUAUACACACCAAAGGAAAAUCCGCAAAUAUUUUAUAUCGAGUAAAAAGGGUUCGUUGUAUAACGAUUAUUGUUUAAGCCGGUGGAACAUCUUUCUUUUAAUUUGUCCGACAAAUACUGUGACACGGUAACAUAAGGCACCAGUAGCGAAUACCUUUUCUCAUAUUUGAAUUUAAAUGCAUUUUGUAUUGAUAUCAUCAAAAUGAAUGCUACAUGUACAUAAUAUAUGCAAAUCAUGCGCUCGCUGUACUACGGUAAUAAUGUUACACAGGAUUGCUCGUGUUUAAAAAAUGUUAAAACGUAAUAGACUUGUACAUGUGCUUCAGUGAACUAUAGCUAGCCACACUGUACUUUUAAUGUGUUUAGCCGAAGAACAUACAAGGAUAUACCAAACGAGUCCAUAGACAUUUGCAAAAGAAUAAGGCAGCUGAUCGCAAGAGCAUUGGAUUAAUGCACAAACAAUUAAUUGCCAAGCUUCGAAAUUGCAAAUGUCGUUAUAAACGGACAGAAGAGGUGGAAGAAAGGUUAAGAAAAUCUUGUUGAAGAAGCUAUACAUGCAUAUGAAUGGAACCUACUGCAAUGCAUAACGACAGAUGUUUACGAAGUUAUGCAGUUGAAACAAAGCUGACGGUUGCUUUAUGUCGCAACCUCCGCGCAGAGAUUAAACGGUAACCAGCAUAGCUGAAUUGUAUGGGCGUGCAAGGAAAGACAUAUCUGCGUGCGGAUUGUUAAUGUGGCCGAUCAAAAUAUGGCUUUUGCGACAAUAAUUUGUGUAAAUGGCAAAGAAGUGCUACAAGAUAAAUAAUGUUUGUGUAAAACAGCGAGAAACACUAAAGCAAGUGUAAGAAACAAACUUAACAUUCUUUGGAAUUAUUUGAUUUAGAAACAAUUGCCAUGGGGAAGCAAUUUAAACCACACACGUCUGAGCUCUUUGGCUAAACAGAAAAAAAAAACAAAUAUGUACAAUUUUAGACAUCCCGCUUAACUUCGAAUGACAGGAACAAAAUCGUACCGAACAGUAUUGAUACAUAUUGUUAUAAAUAUUUGUUCCAAACGUAAUUGCAAUGCGAUUUUUGUGCUCAACAAAUCUAACGCAAAUAAACAACUCAGUAGUGACUCAGUACCAGGAACUGAGGGGCGACGGAUUUUGGAGUCCUAUAUAAUUUCCAAGUACAAACGCACGGCAAAGACAGAGAUAUACGAGAUCAUCCAAUGUAUCGAUUAUGUGCCAUACGAUACGAAUAAAUAUUGCUGAUAGGAAUAGGAACUGCGUAGUGUUGGCGGACUGAUGGCUUUCCUAGAUAUCAUAAUGUAUGUGCUUCUUGCAAUACUAGUUCGGACAAUAAACAUUUGAGUCGUGUUCUGAGAAAACUGUGCAUAAUGCAUGUGCGUAAAGUGUCGUCCCAGAUAAGCCUGUGCAGUCUGCACAGGCUAAUCAGGGACGACACUUUCCGCCUAAAUUGGAAUUUUGCUAAGAAGAGACUUGUGGUCUGACAAAUUAGACUUUUCAUAACGCAAAAAACAAACAUUGAUUUAAUGCUGGGUAAAAUGUUUAAGGUUUAAUAUAACGCCAUAGCUAGAGAUUAACAAAGAUUAAUUAGAAGUCAGCAAAAAAUAUUUCAGAUGGAAUAUUUAUACUUCGAUCGUUUUCACAAAAACCUGAAGUACUCAACGAAGUCAGUUUAUCGAUGAAAUUAGUCUUGUUUUAAUGGGAUUGAAAUUAAUAAGUGCAAGCCACUCAAAAAAUCUUAAUUUAUGAAAAUUUCAUACAAUUUUAAAAUAAAUAUCACUAUAUUUAUAAUAUGUAUAUAAUAGUCGAGCUCACCGUUAGAAAUUUAGGUACUUACAUGCCAUUUAUGAAAUAAUUAUGGCUGAGGUAUUAUGUUAAUACAUGCUGAACAAUAUAAUAAAGAUUUAACUAAACCUAUUCAUGUUGAGACUAUGAUAUAUAUAUAAUUAAACUAUACGUAAAUGACAAAAAUUGUUACUUAAACUAAACGGCAAUAAAGCAUGCAUAAUGAUGUUGAAUGUAUACAUUCGUACGAUCAUCUGUUCAUACAGUUAUCUUAGUGUGCUCGUAUGUGUAAGUCAACUUAAAACAUGCAUUUGUUAUCGUUAUAUAUUUUCAAGUUGUUAUUAAUAAUAUGCUUUCUUUCUACUGUUGUUUUGGUCUCGUUAUCCAAACGUGUAAAACAGUUUGAGUCUUUCAUUUGUUGUUAUCGUUGCAGUAUUAUUUCUCGUAUUUGAUCAUUCCGUGUAGAUGACUGUACAAUUUUAUUCAAUUGUUUAAGUCGGUAUUCUGUGUAUUUAUAUAGCAUAACAAUAUUGCAAUACUUUUACAGUUGCUUUUUUCAACCAUCAUUUCCUUUUAUAGGAAAAUUUCCAUUUUCUGUUUUAGUAAAUUAUGUUGAACUCUGCUGACAUGUUGCCUUUGGUAUGUCAGGUAUAAUUAUAAUGCAGACAAUAUUACUUAUUAUAGCGUAUGGAUACUCGCUCUAUAAGCGAAGUUAUUUUAGUUUCUUUCGCUCGAUAUCCGUACAUCCAUACCCCGACAUUCCUGUUCUUCAAUGUAAUCGACCAAUAAAAAAGCUUCUUUGUUUCUAGUUACUUUACGGAAUAAAAUCAACAUUUGCUUCAGUUUUAAGUUAUGUAUGUGAAUUCAAGGCUUAUAAAUUACUGCCUUAUGUUAGAGUACAUGUUAUUUAUUAUCUAAAAUGUGUGCAAUAUUUCGUCUGACGCCAACGCAGUUAAGUAUACGUCUUUUUCUUUUUAAGAAUUUACGCUUUUUUUAUGUGUAUGAAAUAGUUGACAUUAAAUCCAUGCUUUAAUUCGGAAAUGUGAAAUAAGUGUAUUAAAUCCUGACUAAAAAUCCGCAGUGCUUACCCAUGUGUGUUCUUUACAAGAAACUAACAUUCUAUUACAAUGUCACUAUUCCCUAUUCAAAAUUAGUGCGUCUUAUCAUAGACAAUAGCCGUAUAACGACUUAUGAAGAAACGUGCACUUUCAUAGCAAUAAAAAACGUAAUUAAGGCAUUCUGACAGCCCAAGAGUAAUUGUAUUAAAGGGAUUUCUUCACUGAUGGACACAACAGUUUUGUUUGGUUACAUAUUUACAAGCGAUUAAACCACUGCACGCCAGUGGGCGAUAUAACACUAAGGAAAGAUACAUAUAGUGAAAAUGCUUGUUCGUUUCAGAGCAAUUAUCAUUUGAUUUUCAUACAAUUAUAAAUCAUUGAAAACAAUUAAAUAAAUUUGAGUUUUUUUUUAAAUUAUUACAACAAAAUGCAUGAUGCAAAUUGACAGUCCGGAUAUCCGACUUCAUGAAACAGCAUUUCCAUGUUGGUCCGAAGGACGCCCGUUCGAAUCCCCGUUUGGCUAACCUUUGUCUCUCUUAUAUAGAUCUUUAUUGAUAUACUUCAGAAACCCGUUAUGGUUUUAAUCUACAAAUUAAUAUUUUUUUGAUCUGUCAGCACAUUUCCUUUAAGCGUGUAUUCGAAACUACGAUCUUAAAAGCAUGCUCAUAAUCUUUAAGACCAAUGUCCCAAAUAUUUUUUUUAAAUUGAAUUUUGCUUAAUUUAUUUUAACACAAAAGAAACCACGUUGAUAUCGGUUAAAUACAAUUUCUGUAUGCACAUUAACCUGUCCAGUAAAUCAAGUAAGUUAAUUGUGUUUGUUCAAAACCAUCAACGUCGAUGUUUAAUAUUCCAGAUGCAAUUUGUGAAUUUAUUUAUUCUUAUUAAAACCAUGUCUUGCCUACACAGGGGAUUUCAUGAAACUUAAAUGUCUAGAGUUUCAUAAGAACUGAUAUUAUAUAAGAAUAAAUAGUAGUAUCUUU